UAUACAGAUGCUUUGAAAUAGUAUUAGAAAUUAAGAGGGUGGCAGGGAAAACGGCAAAAAUCGUCUUUUUCGGUUUUCAAAGCGCCGUGGAAGGACGCUGAAGGGGAAGAAAAUGAAAAAGUGAGAGAGAAGAGUGAGGGAGG
ensembl:ncRNA C05B10.15 ncRNA